rnacentral:rRNA from 1 species
UACCGAGGAUGCAAGCGUUAUCCGGAAUGAUUGGGCGUAAAGCGUCUGUAGGUGGCUUUUUAAGUCCGCCGUCAAAUCCCAGGGCUCAACUCUGGACAGGCGGUGGAAACUACCAAGCUGGAGUACGGUAGGGGCAGAGGGAAUUUCCGGUGUAGCGGUGAAAUGCGUAGAUAUCGGAAGGAACACCUGUGGCGAAAGCGGCUCACUGGACCAUUACUGACGCUGAGGCACGAAAGCUAGGGGAGCAAACAGG